AAAUGAUAUCCCCUGUAAGCUAAAAAUAGCAAAAUGCUCACAUAAAAGACUCGCUACCGCAAUUCUGGGCGCUUUGCCUUUGGAAAAUGACCCUGUCUGUUGAUGUCGCAGUUGUCGUCCCAGCAAUGCAGCUCGCUUCAAAAUGUCCAGCUACGCGCUAUAAAUGUGGUUACCUCAACACGAUCGAAAAUAGUACAAGAGCCAGUAUUUCAUCCGGAAUUAUUAACCACUUUGUCACCCUUUUCUACGUUUUCAUUUCUUCUCCCAGCAACAAGUUUCUCAUUGAUUGCCUAAACAACGGCGUAUUCCGGGGCUAUUGCAACAUGUCUCCAACUUUCUGCCUUAACUUUGGAAAAUUAUCAGAACCCCUAUUUUUGUUCUUUCUCUUUAUUAGGAAACCCAGGUAAAAUGUUGUGUCUAUCAACUAAAAACCUGACGAGGUUGCUCGUGGUCUUUGUUGAGCUGUUAUUUCACAACGACAAAUUAAUCUGAUAUAUCAAGACUAAUGGCUAAGUUUAAGUCGCAGCACAUCAGCGUUAAUUGAGCAAUGUUGAAAUAUUGCAUUUAAGUAUAGACAAAUAAGACUAACAUUUCAUAACACAUAAAGAAACUAGGAGAACAACUUGUUCCUUACUCUCCAUCAUUUUCUUUUUGUAUUUCAAACUACCCGUCGAUUUAAGCCAAUUGACCUGUUUUAAAUUUUUAAUUGUCAUCUAUGUUCUCACCUCCUGGACGUCUCCCAACUUUGCCAUCAUGGCGAAAUCUCUUUAGGCACUAUAAAAGGAUGGUUACUUCUUACUUGAUUUUGAAUUCGUAUUGCAGAGCCGGAAACCUGAGAAUUAAAAAAAUUAAUUCAAAGAUCAAGUCUCUGCCAUCUAUUUUGCUGAUUGUCGUGCUCAUGCUGGCGACCGUGUCUGCUCGUGUGUGGUUUUACACCGAAGGUAACCAAGUUCGCUGGUCGAACAAUUGUAAUUUCAAUGGCUACGACUUCCGGCGAGUUUUUGUACCAAACGACCAAUGUGGAAGGGCGUGUCUCAACAACUGGGCCUGCACUCACUUCACUAACACUCGUACUACCUGUUUUCUAAAGAGGAAUACGAACGGGUGGACUGAACAAUUUUCCCGUAACACAGACUGCGGAUUCAUCCCUGGCCGCAGCAACCAAAGCAUUGAUCCUCGACACAAUACUGCUGCAAAUUAAGGGUUUAUUAACAAUUAGCGCUCUCACUUUGUUGUAUGGGAAGAUGAAAGUGCACUACACACUGUUUUUUAUAGAAGAUUUUUAAGUUGUUUAAUACCAUGUAGUCUUUAGUUCUUUAUGUUUACUUACGAGAUUUAUAAAAUUUAUGGGGUGAAAAUGUGAAAUGAAAUUUUUUUCUCUUUUCUUUACUGACAACGCUGUAUUUUCUUUGUUGUUUUAUUCAAUGUUACGCGUGAAUUUUAAUUCCUUCCUUCAUUUUGGACUUACAUUCACUAAUAAAUCUACAAACGCAA